rnacentral:rRNA from 1 species
UACAGAGGAUGCGAGCGUUGUCCGGAAUCACUGGGCGUAAAGGGCGCGUAGGUGGCGGGCCAAGUCCAUGGUGAAAGCUCGAUGCUCAACAUCGAGUCGGCCACGGAUACUGGUGCGCUGGAGCACUGUAGAGGCUAAUGGAAUUCCGGGUGUAGCGGUGGAAUGCGUAGAGAUCCGGAAGAACACCGGUGGCGAAGGCGGUUAGCUGGGCAGUUGCUGACACUGAGGCGCGACAGCGUGGGGAGCAAACAGG